rnacentral:rRNA from 1 species
UACGGAGGGCGCAAGCGUUGUUCGGAAUUACUGGGCGUAAAGCGCGUGUAGGCGGCCUGAAAAGUCGGGUGUGAAAUCUCGGAGCUCAACUCCGGAACUGCAUCCGAUACUGUCGGGCUCGAGUCUCGGAGAGGAUGGCGGAAUUUCCGGUGUAGAGGUGAAAUUCGUAGAUAUCGGAAGGAACACCAGUGGCGAAGGCGGCCGUCUGGACGAUGACUGACGCUGAGACGCGAAAGCGUGGGGAGCAAACAGG